rnacentral:rRNA from 1 species
UACGUAGGGUGCGAGCGUUAAUCGGAAUUACUGGGCGUAAAGGGUGCGCAGGCGGUUUUAUAAGACAGAUGUGAAAUCCCCGGGCUCAACCUGGGAACUGCGUUUGGGACUGUAUGACUAGAGUACGGUAGAGAGGGGUGGAAUUCCUGGUGUAGCAGUGAAAUGCGUAGAUAUCAGGAGGAACAUCGAUGGCGAAGGCAGCCCCUUGGACCUGUACUGACGCUCAUGCACGAAAGCGUGGGGAGCAAACAGG